UGGAGUGUCUGCAGGACCACCUGGAAGACCUGCUGUCAGGGUGUGGAGAGGUGGUGGGCAACCUGACAGAGCUGCAGUCUGAGGACAUUCAUAUUGAGGCCCUGCUGUUCCGGGCCUGUCAACCCGUCAUCCAGUCUCACUGCCAUGAUGUAUCUGAUAACCAGGUGGAUACGGGGGAUGUGAUGGAGUGUCUGGUUCAGAACAAACACAUUUCUCUCCUCUCUCCUCUCUCUCUCCUCUCUCUCUCCUCUCUCUCUCUCUCUCUCCUCUCUCUCCUCUCUCUCCUCUCUCUCUCCUCUCUCUCUCUCCUCUCUCUCCUCUCUCUAGGAUGUAUCUGAUAACCAGGUGGAUACGGGGGAUGUGAUGGAGUGUCUGGUUCAGAACAAACACAUUUCUCUCCUCUCUCUCUCUCUCUCUCUCUCCUCUCUCUCCUCUCUCUCUCCUCUCUCUCUCUCUCCUCUCCUCUCUCUCUCCUCUCUCUCUCUCCUCUCUCUCCUCUCUCUAGGAUGUAUCUGAUAACCAGGUGGAUACAGGGGAUGUGAUGGAGUGUCUGGUUCAGAACAAACACAUCUCUCUCCUCUC